GCGAAGCCAUACGAUUACAAGAUGUGCAGGACGAAGUGGAAGAUGCAUUUGAAGAUUACCAUAUAGUCACACUUCAUUCUCGACGGGAGAAUCUGGAGCCUCAGAUUAGAACGUAUGGGCAUUAUUCAGAGCAGAUGCUGAAAUGCAUAGACUGCAUUGUCAGAGGAAAAGCUAUUCCAGAAAUAGUUAUCCGUCGUGGUUUGGACUACAAGUCAGUAGAAGAACUAUUGGCUAAGAUUAGCGUUCCCAAGAUUGACAGAUACAGAGAAGGAAUAUUUGAACAAGAGCCUGAGGAAACCCCUGUUUGGUAUCCUCCGUAUCCAGAUGUCCUGGGAGAUGGUGAUACUGGCUCCAAUGAAGACUAGGAGGUGCUCAGAAGAGGGUGAUACCUGGCAGCGCGAAUGGUCGGUGUGAGUUUGAUUUCUACAUUUCAGUAGUAGUGGGCUGAGAUCACUGGGUUAUUGAUGGUGCAGUUGUUGCAGUUCUGAAAAGCGUUCAAGGGCUACAUCAAGAACCGAACAGCAAUGUUGCUGUAAAGUUAGGAGGAUAGAAACUAAUUCUGUCAAGUUCUUAAUAAUGCACAGAAUGGUGCUGUCGCAUUUUACAUAACCUGGGCACGGUCUUGUGGGACCUGGAAGGCCAAGAGCACAGACCCAACACAG